ensembl:snoRNA SNORA72 Small nucleolar RNA SNORA72
CUGUGAAUAUUCUCACUGUUCUGAUUUUGUAAUAAUCAGGGCAGACUAAAUACUCGCUAUAAUAAAACCAUGCAUGUGUCCCCACACCUAGUUCUUUACCUCCCUAAGUCUGGUCUUAGAAAUGAGAAUGAGAAGG